CAGCGACGCCGCGUGAGCGAUGAAGCCCCUCGGGGUGUAAAACUCUUUCGGCAGGGAAGAUAAUGACGGUACCUGCAGAAGCAGCUGCGGCUAACUACGUGCCAGCAGCCGCGGUAAUACGUAGGCAGCGAGCGUUGUUCGGAGUUACUGGGCGUAAAGGGUGUGUAGGCGGUUGUUUAAGUUUGGUGUGAAAUCUCCCGGCUCAACUGGGAGGGUGCGCCGAAUACUGAAUGACUAGAGUGCGGGAGAGGAGAGUGGAAUUCCUGGUGUAGCGGUGAAAUGCGUAGAUAUCAGGAGGAACACCGGUGGUGUAGACGGCUCUCUGGACCGUAACUGACGCUGAGACACGAAAGCGUGGGUAGCAAACAGGAUUAGAUACCCUGGUAGUCCACGCCCUAAACGAUGCAUAUUUGGUGUGGGCAGUUCAUUCUGUCCGUGCCGGAGCUAACGCGUUAAAUAUGCCGCCUGGGGAGUACAGUCGCAAGGCUG
rnacentral:rRNA from 1 species